AGUGAACGCUGGCGGCGUGCCUAAUACAUGCAAGUCGAACGGAGUGGCGCACGGGUGAGUAAUGUAUAGCUAAUCUGCCCUACACUAGAGGAGAACAGUUGGAAAAGACUGCUAAUACUCUAGAGUGUAGGAUGAGGCUAUAUUGUAUGAGCUAGUUGGUGAGGUAGUGGCUCACCAAGGCUAUGACGCAUAACUGGUCUGAGAGGAUGAUCAGUCAACCCUGAACUGAGACACCGUCCAGGCUCCUUCGGCAAGCAGCGGUAGCGAAUAUUACCCAUUCGGGGAGUCCCUGGAGCGGCAUCGCCUCGUAAAGUAUUACACUUUUCGGAGCAUACACUCCUUUUGUUAGGGAUGCGUUACCUACCGAAUAAGCACCGGCUAACUCCGUGCCAGCAGCCGCGGUAAUUC
rnacentral:rRNA from 1 species